rnacentral:rRNA from 1 species
UAACGUCGCAAGACCAAAGAGGGGGACCUUCGGGCCUCUUGCCAUCGGAUGUGCCCAGAUGGGAUUAGCUAGUAGGUGGGGUAAAGGCUCACCUAGGCGACGAUCCCUAGCUGGUCUGAGAGGAUGACCAGCCACACUGGAACUGAGACACGGUCCAGACUCCUACGGGAGGCAGCAGUGGGGAAUAUUGCACAAUGGGCGCAAGCCUGAUGCAGCCAUGCCGCGUGUAUGAAGAAGGCCUUCGGGUUGUAAAGUACUUUCAGCGGGGAGGAAGGGAGUAAAGUUAAUACCUUUGCUCAUUGACGUUACCCGCAGAAGAAGCACCGGCUAACUCCGUGCCAGCAGCCGCGGUAAUACGGAGGGUGCAAGCGUUAAUCGGAAUUACUGGGCGUAAAGCGCACGCAGGCGGUUUGUUAAGUCAGAUGUGAA